rnacentral:tRNA from 1 species
GCCUGGGGGGCUCAGUCGGUUGAGCGGCUGACUUGGGCUCAGGCCAUGAUCUCGCGGUUUGUGAGUUCGAGCCCCGCACCAGGCU